rnacentral:rRNA from 1 species
CCGGUUGAUCCUGCCGGAGGCUACCGCUAUUGGAGUUCGAUUAAGCCAUGCGAGUCGCGAGUCUUAGGGACUCGGCGUACCGCUCAGUAACACGUGGGUAACCUGCCCUAUGCUGGGGGAUAACCUCGGGAAACUGAGAAUAAUACCCCAUAGUUCACCACGCCUGGAACGGUUGGUGGACAAAAGCUCCGGCGGCAUAGGAUGGGCCUGCGGCGUAUCAGGUUGUAGGGGGUGUAAUGUACCCUCUAGCCCUCUACGCGUACGGGUGUUGAGAGACAUCGCCCGGAGAUGGAUUCUGAGACACGAAUCCAGACCCUACGGGGUGCAGCAGGCGCGAAAACUUGGCAAUGCGAGAAAUCGUGACCAGGGAACUCCAAGUGCAUCGGGUAAGACCGAUGCUUUUCUUGACUCUUCAAAGGUCUUGGAAUAAGGGGUGGGUAAGGACGGUGCCAGCCGCCGCGGUAAUACCGGCGCCCCAAGUGGUAGUCGCUUUUAUUGGGCCUAAAACGUCCGUAGCCGGUCUGGUACAUUCGUGGGUAAAUCAACCGGCUCAACUGGUUGAAUUCUGCGAGCACGGCCAGACUUGGGACCGGGAGAGGUGUGGGGUACUCUCAGGGUAGGGGUAAAAUCCUGUCAUCCUGAGAGGACCACCUGUUGCGAAGGCGCCACACUAGAACGGAUCCGACGGUCAGGGACGAAGCCUAGGGGCACGAACCGGAUUAGAUACCCGGGUAGUCCUAGGUGUAAACGCUGUGGACUUGAUGUUGGGGGCGCUCCGAGCGCACUCAGUGUCGAAGCGAAGGUGAUAAGUCCACUGCCUGGGGAGUACGGUCGCAAGGCUGAAACUUAAAGGAAUUGGCGGGGGAGCACCGCAACCUGAGGAUUGUGCG